ACCGCGGUAGCCCAGAUUGAAGAGGCUACGCCAGUACUAAUGGCGAAAUUUGCAGGUUCAAAUCUUGCUUGCUGUA